rnacentral:misc_RNA from 1 species
AAGUCGUAACAAGGUUUCCGUAGGUGAACCUGCGGAAGGAUCAUUAACACGACCCAUGAAUGGGACGCGCCAAACCUCAGCGUGAGACGCGCUCCCAUUCAUAACCAACACAAACCAACCUGUCUUGUUUCAUCUCGCCCUCAUAGUCUUCUAUGAGGUUCACAGCAUGAGAUCGCGUUUUGGGUGCCUCUGAGUGCCCAAUUCACUUGCCUUCGUUCUCGGUCCUGAUAGGACUUGGGGCGGCUGCCAAGGGUCUCAUCGCGCUUUUCUUUUUCAAUUCAACAAACCUUUCGAAUUCAGAACUGAAACGCUCUCAUUUUCGAGUCGUUCUCGCGAUCGACUCGCUUGUGGGACACAUUUGACCUUUAACCAGUCAAAUAAUCAAACACAAAUACAACUCUUAACAACGGAUAUCUCGGCUGAC